AAUAUGACGACAACAGGGUUUAGUUUUUUAUGGCUUACACUUUACAUUGGAAAACUAAACUUUAGUCGCAUCAGUAAACUUCCCACCACGUGUAACCAAAGCCUAUGCGUACAGCAAUGCGACAAUUUGUUGUUCUUCGGCACCAAUGAGAAUCAGAGAAAGCAACUUUUUGUUUGGCUGUAUUUGUUUCUAAAGGAAGGAAGGACUGUUUAAUAUCAGUGAUAAGCUCCUUGUGUCUCUAGACAUUUUGAUGGAGCUCAGGGAGUUCUUCAAGUGUGGAGUCCCUCUCACAGUUGCCAUACAUUGAGAACAAGCUUGCUGUUCUUUCAUGAAAAGCAAAACGUUAACUGCCUGAAGUCUUGACAGUCAAAUCUGUGGUAUUUGUGGGGUUUUGGGUGAGGUGUAUUUGGAUGAUGGUAACCAGAAGAAUUGUUGCAGCCGCAAUGAGAUUUCCUAUGCUCUUGAAUCACAGCGGUUGACCACUGGAGGACAUCCACUGCCAUUGGAUGAAUUUCUGGAAAGAAUCAAGUGCUAUUUUGUGGAGUGCAACACAUACACCCGUUCUGCAAAACCACUAAACUUUCAUGUUUCGGAAAUCCCACCAGUUGUUGCACCAAAGCUCUGUGGUGCAAAUAUUUGGAAUACAGAAAUGGAAAAGAAAAGUCAGUUUUUAAAAAAGCAGAGUAAAUCUGUCGAGGGUGAUCCAGCCCUGCUCCACGCCAAGAUUAGAGAUUGUGCUUUUGACAUGUCCAACAUACAAAAUUUAUCAUUGCCUGAACUUAAGAAGUUGUCUCUGGACCUUGGUAUUUCUGUUUCUCAAAAGUCGAAGGUACGUUUGUAUUUGAUUCGCUGCAUUGUAGGUACAUGUUCAUGUAUAUAUAUGAGACCUAAGUAAAAUGCUUCUCUUUUUUUCAUUAAUAUUAUCAAUGUAGCUGAAGUAAUGUUAUGAA